rnacentral:rRNA from 11 species
AAUUAUAUGAAUAGUAGUCCCUAAAGGCAUCAUGUCUUGUCUGAUCUUGAAAGCUAAGUGGUGUCAACCCUGGUUAGUACUUGAAUGGGAGACUGCCAACAAAUACCAGGUGCUGUAGAUU